GAGAGAGGAGGGGGACACGGAGAGAAAAGCUGUCACAGCUCUAGUGUGAGGUGAAGAGAAAGGUCAUACCAGUGGUAUGCUGGACCCAGCUUGUACAGGCUGAGAAGAGCCAAUGGAGAGCAUCUCUUCUCAACUCUGCAUUCAGUGGCAUCACAUUGAUAGACUGAAAUCAGCUGUCACGGGAAUAUGUUCACCAAGGGUAGAAGACAGGCAAAGAGGACCCCUGUUCUGAAUGAGUCCAUGACACUACAUCUCUACAGGUCACAUCAUUCUGAGGGAAAGAAUCUCUGAAAUGGCCUUCAAAGACCACUCAACUCAUGUGGUUUCAGUAGGAAAGCUGGAUUGUGAGCCACCCUCCUCCUCCAUUCAAUUGGUUUCAUAAUACAUUCAGCAGAAUGGAGUCCAUGAAGACUGUGCAA